rnacentral:rRNA from 1 species
AUUGAACGCUGGCGGCAGGCCUAACACAUGCAAGUCGAGCGGAUGAAGGGAGCUUGCGCCUGGAUGCAGCGGCGGACGGGUGGGUAAUGCCUAGGAAUCUGCCUGGUAUUGGGGGAUAACGUCCGGAAACGGGCGCGAAUACCGCAUACGUCCUGAGGGAGAAAGGGGGGGAUCUUUGGAGCUCACGGUAUCAGAUGAGCCUAGGUCGGAUUAGCUAGUUGGUGGGGUAAAGGCCUACCAAGGCGACGAUCCGUAACUGGUCUGAGAGGAUGAUCAGUCACACUGGAACUGAGACACGGUCCAGACUCCUACGGGAGGCAGCAGUGGGGAAUAUUCGACAAUGGGCGAAAGCCUGAUCCAGCCAUGCCGCGUGUGUGAAGAAGGUCUUCGGAUUGUAAAGCACUUUAAGUUGGGAGGAAGGGCAGUAAGUUAAUACCUUGCUGUUUUGACGUUACCAACAGAAUAAGCACCGGCUAACUUCGUG